rfam:Cricetulus griseus cell line CHO-K1, whole genome shotgun sequence.
UUUCACGGUCAUACCACCUUGAACGUGUCCAGUCUCAUGAGAUCUCGGAAGCUAUGCAGGGUCGGGCAUGGUUAGUACUUGGAUGGGAGCCCUGUUCAAUUUGUAAGGCAUCAUGCAGGAGAAAGUCUGGGCCCGUCAUAC